rnacentral:rRNA from 1 species
GGUGCGUAACACGUGGGUAAUCUACCCUUUGGUCUGGAUAACUUGUCGAAAGACGGGCUAAUACCGGAUAAGACCACGGCUCUGCGGAGCUGUGAGAAAAGACUCGCAAGGGUCACCGAUGGAUGAGCCCGCGGCCUAUCACGGUAGUUGGUGAGGUAAUGGCUCACCAAGCCUACGACGGGUAGCUGGUCUGAGAGGACGACCAGUCACACUGGAACUGAGACACGGUCCAGACUCCUACGGGAGGCAGCAGUGGGAAUAUUGCGCAAUGGGCGAAAGCCUGACGCAGCAACGCCGCGUGGGUGAUGAAGGCCUUCGGGUUGUAAAGCCCUGUCGCCUGGGACGAACAAGCUCGUGAAGAACGAGCUCUGACGGUACCAGGAGAGGAAGCACCGGCUAACUCUGUGCCAGCAGCCGCGGUAA